rnacentral:rRNA from 1 species
ACCGUCGACAGUCAGGCAACGAGCGAGACCCACGCCAACAGUUGCCAGCUCGUCCUCCGGGAUGGUGGGGACACUGUUGGGACCGCCUCUGCUAAAGAGGAGGAAGGAAUGGGCAACGGUAGGUCAGCAUGCCCCGAAUUAACUGGGCUACACGCGGGCUACAAUGGGUGGGACAAUGGGUAUCGACACCGAAAGGUGAAGGCAAUCUCCUAAACCCAUCCUUAGUUCGGAUUGUGGGCUGCAACUCGCCCACAUGAAGCUGGAAUCCGUAGUAAUCGUGUUUCAAAAUAGCACGGUGAAUAUGUCCCUGCUCCUUGCACGAAUUCGCCG